GUUCUCGUAGAGCAAUGGAUAGCGCAUUGAAAUUAUAAUUCAAAGGUCGUGGUUUCGAAUACUACCCGGGAUG